GUCCCUUACCAGUCAAACAUUGACCUGUUAGAUAAUUUUUUUUAAAUUUGAAGUUUUGUGAAUUUAUUAUUACUGUCUAAUGCAUUUAUAUAAUGAUUAGUUUGUAAGAAUCAAAGUGAUUUUAUUUUGCACCAGGGAUUAGGCUUCCUGCAUUGUCUUGUUCUUAAUGAGUAAAAUAAGGCGUUUCUGAUUUUAUCACAAAUCCACGAAGGGGAUCUUGUAUAUGAACAAUGACUCCUUCAAUUACAAACAGAAAAAUCUGGUAUUAAAACACAAACCUUAUUGUAAUCACUACUUUCAUGUAGACUGUUUUUAUUACACGGUGGAAUGACAACUUUCAGCCAGAAGCAAAUAUCUUCAUAAAAAUUCUCAACUUUUUUUUUUUAUUAUUUUUUGUGAUUUGAUUGAUAUUUACAGAUUCAUAAUUUUCGUCUACCUGGUUUUACUUGCACCUAUCCAAGAAAUUGAGUAAUAGUACAUGUAAAAAAUGUUGGAGGUCUAAUUGUGUGGGUUUUUUUAAUCUAACUUGUCCCAAAACUAGUAACAAGCUAUAUUCUUUAAGCAUCUGUUUUCCUUUAAUAACAUACAUAGAUUGAAGGUAAUUAAAUAGCCUUGUCAACUGAACUUCCGAUAUAAACAUUGAUAGACCACAUCUAAAAUAGCCUCCUCAGUCAUGUUUGCCUGAAGUUAUAGUAUUUCAAGGUCUUUUAUUCAUACACAUUUAUCAAAUCUAUACGCAAUAUGUUUUCUAUGAAUUUACCAGAUUUUUACAAUUCUGUUUACUUCAGCCUCUCUAAGCAAGCAAGCAAGCAAGCUUAGCAAAAGUAGUUUAAUCUAUAAGUAGACAGUGCUCAUGAAAAUUUCAAAAUAACUAC
rnacentral:lncRNA from 1 species